rnacentral:lncRNA from 1 species
UUAGGAUUUACUUAGGAUUUAGGAUUUAUAAUUUAUUUAGGACUUAAGAAUUACUUAGGAUUUAGGAUUGGAUUAGAUUUUAAGGUUUGAUUUUGGAAUUAGGAUUUAGAAUUUAUCUAAGAUUUAGAAUUUAGGCUUUGCUUAGGAUUUAGGAUUGGAUUAGGAUUUAGGAUUUAUUUAGAAUUUAAGAUUUGGUUUAAGGUUUGGUUUAGAUUUAGGAUUUGCUUAAGAUUUAAUAUUUACUUAGGAUUUAGGAUUUGGCCUAGGAUUUAAUUGAAAUCCAUUAGGGUUUCAAUUAAUAUAAAAUUAUGACUUAGUUGAGAUUUCUUUAAAAUAUAUUUUUAAUUAUUCUAAUAUUUCUUUAGGAUUUUUUAAUAUUUCUUUUAAGAUUAUUAUAGAUUUCUUUUGAAUUCUUUUAAGAUUUCUUAUUUUUUUUUUUAUAAUUUCUUUAAGAUUUCUUUUAAAUUUGAUUAAAUUUUAUUUAAUAUUAUUAAGAUUUAAUUAGAA